UACUGGAGUAAUGCUGGUUGUCAUUUCAGUUUGUUUAAACUUACUCCAAAAUAAGUAGGAAGCCAGACCUCUUAUUUCUCUUCUUUUAACCUGCCCAUACAGUAUAGAAAGGAGUGGGAGAGAAAGGGUAACAACUGCCCACUUCUGAGACAGCCGAGUGGCCCAGCAUUGUAGCAACUUGGCAUUCUGCUUAGCAGUGGCCUCCAUGGUGACAGGGGCCUCUGUCAUCAGGACUGAUGCUAAGGACCCGAGGGAGAGCCCAGACCUGUCCAAAGGAGAAAGGAAGCAAGAAGGGUCCUGAGUGUGGACUGUCCGCAGAAAACACAACCAGGAUGGAGUGGGGAGGAAGCCUUAGACUAGCCAGAGCACUGGGCAUUUGGGCACUGGAAGGGCCAGAAGGAGAAGUUUUACAGGCCAGGACCUGCUCAGCACUUGAGCUGGGCACGGAGUCACAGGCUGUUCAUCACCAACGGCUCAAGAACACCUACAGGUAGGCAAUCUGGCCGCUAACCCGGCCAGGAUUGGGGAGUGGGAGUGUGGGCGAGGAAGGCGACAGCAGUCGGGCAUGAUUUGUGCAGAGACUAUUUGCCAAGGGCAUAGCAAACUCAAAUGCUUCCAGGCGAGUGGGCUCGUGCAGAGGUGGCUCGGGCAGCGCCUACCCAAGGCAACCAAAUUCAACACAGUGUCCUCGGGGCUGGGGAUGAGAAACUGAGGCCCAGAGAGACUCUACGUGAUUUCUGUUCAGCUCUGAAGCCAGAGCAUUUCCCAGGCCACCAGGUCGUCCCCGGCCAGAGCCGGCUGCG